AUGGCCACCACCGCAUCCAAGUACCCCCAACACUACGACGACGAUGAGGAUGACGACGAUGAAUUCGAGGACGACGACGACGAUGACGAGCCCUCCCGCCCGCUGCCCGCCGGCAGCGCGGAGGAUCGCCUCGAGGCCGUUCUUCGCCGGCUCACGGCGGACGAGGUCCGGAUCCGGGUGCACGACGUCGCGAUCCGGGGCUGCGCCCGCACGCGCCGGGCCGCCGCGGAGGCAGCGGUGGGACAGGACCUCGCGCGCGCCGCUACCGUGCCGGAGCUCCUGCGUGCCGCUGCAGCGGCCGGCGAGCGGCUCCGUCGCCUCGGCGCCUUCGAAUCCGUCUCCAUCACCCUAGACACCGCGCCACCGGGGGUCCCUGCGGACGCGAGAGGCGGCGCCGUCGUCGUCCUUGUCGACGUCACGGAGGCUCGGGGCCGCGCUGCCGGCGGGCUCGGCGUAUUCGCCAACACGGAGACUAGAUCAUGCUCAGUUGAAGGUUCACUGAGGUUCAAGAAUCUAUUUGGAUACUGUGAGACCUGGGAUGCAUCUGGUCUUCUUGGUUUAGAUCAGACAAUGGAGCUCAGUGUUGGAGCCUUAAUACCGAGAAUUGGACCAAUACCCACUCCACUGAUGGCUCGAGUGUCAUUUCUCUCUGAGGACUGGUUAAAGUCCUCGCUCAGAGAACACCUGAUGGGGGUUUCUGUUGGGUUGCUCUCCACGAUGAACCAUAACCUUGCUUACAAUCUCUCAUGGAAAACUAUAAUUGACCCAGCGCGGUUGUCCUCCAGUUCCAUAAGGGACCAGUUAGAGCAUAGCCUAUUAUCCUCUAUCAAAUAUACAUACAAAAUUGACCAGAGAGACUCAAGCAUAAGACCUACACGUGGAUAUGCUUUUCUUUCAUCUUCUCAAGUCGGAGGUCUUGCCCCAGACAGCAAAAACACGCGUUUUGUUAGACAGGAAUUUGAUCUUCGGGUAGCUAUGCCACUGGGUGUGUGGAAUGGUGCUCUGAAUGCCGGAGUGGCUGCAGGGUUCAUCCAUCCAUUGGCCACAGGAUCAGCAGGCUCUAUCUCAUCACUUCGAGAACGCUUUUACUUGGGCGGCAAUAAGUCUCUUGUUUGCCGCUUGGGUGGACCAUCAUCACUAUUGGGCUUCAAGUCAAGGGGGCUAGGACCAACAGACUCACAAGCCUGUGCCCCCAAGAAUUCUGAAAAUGCUGCUCCCAGUUCUCCUGAGCUAGAUGCACUGGGAGGUGACAUAGCAGUCACAGCCUUUGCUGAUCUUUCAUUUGAUCUACCUCUGAAGCCACUCAGGGAGUUUGGGAUUCAUGGCCAUGCAUUUGUCUCAGCUGGGAACCAUGCUAAGUUCACAGAGCGUGAUAUCAGAAGAUUUUCUGUUACCGAGUUCCUAAAAACGUUCAGGAGUUCUGCAGGAUUUGGUGUGGUUGUGCCAACCAGAUUGUUUCGCAUAGAGAUGAACUACUGCCACAUCCUAAAACAGUUUGAUAAUGACAGGGCGAAGACAGGCAUACAGUUCAACUUCUCUUCGCCCUAA
rnacentral:rRNA from 1 species